UUAACUGAAGAGUUUGAUCAUGGCUCAGAUUGAACGCUGGCGGCAGGCCUAAGACAUGCAAGUCGAACGGUAACGACACUAGCUUGCUAGU
rnacentral:rRNA from 2 species